rnacentral:lncRNA from 1 species
AUGACCUCAACUCCUUUACAGCCAGGACACAGAUGGCAUUGCCCUUCACGCGUGGUGGAGAUAAAAGAGGCGGCUCCUGACAACUGCAAGAUGACGUCUCCUUUGGAUUGCGGCAAAGGUUCAGAUUUCCUGGAUCAAAUGUUCCCAAGGCCCGCGAGGUCGUGUGGUUUCAGAGACAUAAGCCAAGCUUGGUGUCUAUUACAGAGAAGCCACCCCAUCCAGGUGUGACCGCUCCAAAGUCAUAGGUGUGCACGGUGCAACGUCUGAAAACUUCUGAAAGACAGAAAUAGUUCAAGAUAGACCAUCCAUCCUCCUGCCACGCAGAGGUAACCACUGUUAAUCCUUUGGUGGUUCUGGUCCAGAUUUAUCUGAUACACAUGCACAAAUACAUUGGCCAAGGUGCAGUUUCAUGCUGUAUGGGGACGGGGAUGGUUAGGCAGUGAGCCAGUCAGAUGGGGCAAGGGGAACGGCGCUCGGCGUGGGAAGGGGGCUUGGACCAGUCCGCCAUUAGUUCUUAAUCCCUUAACCACGUAAGCAGACGUGUCCUAGAGGCGGACAAGGGAAGGGGCACAACCGGAAGAGUUAGCCCUCUUGACCCCCAGUCCGGGGAGGUGGGGAGAGACCCAUUCACAUCUCUAGGUUGAAGUGGAAGUGAUAUUCCAGGGCCCGUGACCCAUGACCUCCUCUCUGGGACUCAACCAGCAGGGGGAAAAAAUGAUGCCCAUGGGAGCAACAUACUCUUUGGAGGAUGAGAACACAGCAGGUCAGAACACUUUUAGCCUAGGAGCUCCCUGGUGGCUCAGCGGUUAAGGAUCUGGCAUUGUCACUGCUGUGGCUCAGAGUCUAUCCCUGGCCUGGGGACUAAUGCAUACAGCCAAAACAAAAAACAAAUAUACAAAAACAAAUCCAAACAAAUCAACUCUUUCAAUAUAAACAAAAAAUUAGCUGCCUCUGUCUGACUUUUCUGUUUUCAGCUGAAUUGGAAAAAUCCAGUCCUUCCUAAAGAGGCGG